UACUUGUGGAAGCAAGUCAGGAAGUCACUGUGCACACAAGGAGUCGGGAUUUAUGAUCCUUCUUUUUGAGGAGGGAGUAUCUACAAGUUAUUUGGAAUUCUUCAUGGAUGAUUUUUUUUCUUAUUACCUUAUUUAUGGACAUGAGCCAUUAGGAUUUUUACAUCUUCCUGAUGAAUUAGCCCUUUUAUUAUUAUGAAUUGUUCCUCUAUUUAUGCAGUAUUCCUUCACUUGAAGCCUAUUCUCUAUGAUAUUAAUAUAAGACAGGGUCUGACUCUGUCACCAAGUUGAAGUGCAGUGGCACGAUCAUAGCUCACUGCAACCUCCGCUUCCCAGGCUCAAGUGAUUCUCCAGCCUCAGCCUCCUGAGUAGCUAUGACUACAGGUGGAUAUCACCACUCCUGACUUCUUAUUAUCUGUAUAUGCAGCCUUAGGCAAGUGACUGCCUCUUGCACUUGCUCUCCCAGCUUUGAAUUGGGGAAGUGGGACAUGUGGAUGAAAUCAUCUGUAAAGCUCCUCUCAGCUGCUGCAGUCUGGAGGUAGGAUGCUGUCUCAUCAUCCAGCUUCCCCAAACUGUUUGCUUUAUCACCUGCUACACUUGAUCAUCUACACGGGAGUUACCCACCUUGUCCAUGACGACUGGAAGUGUUUACAUUCCCUGCUGGGAGAUUUGUUUCUCUCUCUCUGCUUUGCUUAAAAUGUCCACACUGGAGUAGGGAUAAACUUAAGGAAGGCAUAUUCCUUUAAUCUAAUAUAUAUUAUUAGAUUAUAUGUUUUUAUAAUGUAACAUUACAGGUACCUAUAAUAGCGCAACAGAUUUCCUCAAUAGCAAAUCUAAAUAUAUAAGUAGAACCUUCACCCUACUUCCCAAUAGGAAAUACACAUGGCUUCUGUAAUAUUAUGAAAUCCAUGGUCUUCCUCUCUCAACUUUGGUGCCCAUAACCAGAAGCUCAUUUUGCCAGGACAAAAAGAGGUUAAAGCACCUCAGGUGCCCUCAGCUGGGGAAUCCUAGAAAACUGAAGGUUAUAGCAGAACUUGAGAGCAAAGGCCGUUGAAGUCCAGGCCAUUGAUCAAUAGCUGCAGCCUCAACUCCCUUUUCCUUCCCUCUCAACCCCUCACCCCCUCACCCCCUCCUCUUUUCCGCCAACACACUCUUUUUCCUGGAAACCCUCUCCUGGCCUCCACCGCUACAGCUUGUGGGAGAUAAGACAUGUGUCCCACGGGUGGGGGAGGCCAAGCCUGUGUGAGUGAUUUUACAAAAGGUUCACUUUGGGUGAUAAGAACAGGGUUAUGACUGUUCUACUUAGAGCUAAGCCAGGGAAGAGGGGGACAGCUUUGAAGGAAGGUUUCUCAGUGGAAGAUUUGUUCAUUUGUUUCCUCCCUCCUGAAACCC